GACAGAGGGUGCAAACGUUGUUCGGAAUUACUGGGCGUAAAGCGCGUGUAGGCGGCUAUGCAAGUCGGGUGUGAAAUCCCACGGCUCAACCGUGGAAGUGCACUCGAAACUACGUAGCUGGAGUUCUGGAGAGGAAGGUGGAAUGCUCGGUGUAGAGGUGAAAUGCGCAGAUAUCGGGAGGAACACCUAUUGCGAAGGCAGCUCGCUGGGACGUCACUGACGCUGAGACGCGAAAGCGUGGGGAGCAAACAGG
rnacentral:rRNA from 1 species